UGUCUGAAAUGGGACCUUUAAUUGGCGCUUCUUAGUCUCCAUUCGAAAUUUCAAGUUCCUUGCAUCUUUGCUUCCUCUAAUUUCUACUGAAGCAUAACAUGGUCUCAUUGACAAUUGAGUUCUUUUUUUUUUUCCCUCGAUUUCUAUCCCGAGAUAGAAAAAUGUCAGUAUAAUUAAACUUGACUACUGUAUGCAAUUUUCUCUAGAGUAAUGUAACUUGUUCUGCAGUUUUUUA